GAAUGCAGUUGAGGUGCUCAUUCUAAGUCUAGGCCUUAGAAGGUCCUCCAUUCUCUCUUUCACUUCUUUACCUUCGCUGUGCAGGACAUGCCUACACAACCCUGAGAACAAGCCCGGGCUCGUCUGCCAGAACAGGAAAGAAAAGCCUGCAGGUAUUGGACACCCACACAUGUGAGAGAACCCAGUGGAGGACCAUUUGAACAAUCGAUACAGAAGUCGGAGAUGAAGUUCCAAGACUUCGUGUUUGGAGAUGGAACAGUUUGGAGGCUGUAACUUUAGACUUAUUGCCAAGGACAAUUGCUGAAACUUUCUGCAUAGAACUAGACAGAGAAAUCGGAGCAUCCAACCUCACAAGACGAGGGCUUUCGACCACUCACCUAAGAAGCAACGCCGUUGGCGGGGAGCUGUGACCAGACCAGCUGACAGUGCUAAUUAAAACAUCCAGCCCACGUGUAUGCAAAUCCAGAAACAGCGUGUCAGGGAAGAUGAUCCUGAUCCGAACCCAUCCCCAGAGCUUUUCCUGAGCCCAGCUGUUUAGAGGCAAUCUGCAGCCUGGCCACUUGAUAAAAUUAUUUCUGUUUGCAUCGAGCCACAAACAAAUCCACAGGCACAAACCUUAGACGUAUGAUCUCGGCAGCCCUUGGCCUCCUAGAGCUGUUGCUUGACUCCUCGUCACCAGGCUCAACACAGCGAGACGCCGUACACUGGGUGUGGAGGGUUGUCUUAGAAGAAUCUGAAAGGCUGAAGCGUGGUACUUGCGACAUGCGGAGAUGUGGGGUCUCUUCCCAGCUCCGUCACAAACUGGCUGUGUGAUCCCAAGCGAAUCGUUUGACCUCUCUGAGCUUUUGUCGCCUCAAAAUUAGGGGUUUCGGACCAACUGAUCUGGAGUUUCUGCUUACACUAUGAUGAUGCAGUUCUACUCUCCUGAUUUUGUAGAUGAGGAUCCCACUAAGUUCAAGUUCAUUCAGAAGGGGUGACUCAGUUCCUGGCGUGUCCGCAGGGAUGCCAUCUCCCAGGCUACCGGUUUAGAUGACUCAGCCCCGGUUUUGUCAGGUCCAUACACCCACGAUGUGUUGUUUAUAGGGCGGACUCUCCUCACUCUCCCUCCGCCUGGCCUUAGAAGAGUCCCUCUUUUCUUGGUCUGGCCUUUGGCAACGCUGCUGGGCAGUUGCGAGCAUCUAGUCAGGUGACUGGCUGGCCCUGUCCUAGAAUAUGUACAGAGAAGACAAAAAGAAAAAUGGCAAUUGGGUGCAUUUCUGCCAGUGCCCCCUCCCGGAACUCACACAGCUCUCUGCAGCUGCACACAGCCUGGGCCAGGACUACCAUCCAAGUGCCUCCUGGAAGUGCCUGCAAUAAUAUUCGAUCACAGUGUCAGGCCUGGAAGAGCUCACCUCUCCAUGCGCGGGCCCAGUCAGUAUUGCUGACUUCGGGCUCACUUGGCCAAUGGGGAUGGCGCACGCUGCCCUGCGUGCUCUUGGCCCGGGUGACACUCCAUUCUUUUUUGCUCCAGAGGGGUGGCCAGGGUUUUCUGGGAGCUGGGAAGAAUUGAAAUCCCUCCUGCUCAUGGAGGGACAAUGCACUGAAUUGGUAACUCUCUAGGCAGGGCCUUAAUUUUACUCGUGCUUCUUUCCAGGUUCUCAAUUGCUAUCACUCCGACGGUUCAGUCUUCUUUGUCCGUGUUCAAGGGAGGCAGCAGGGAACCAGUAAAUAAUGGGAGUCCACAGUUUUGUUCAAGGACUUCGAUUCCCUUAAAUAUGUAGUAAAUGCCUACUACGUGUGGCCCUUCUGCUAGAUGCCAGGAAUACAAAAAUGAAUAAGGCGUAAACUCCGGCACUGGAGAUUUUGCAUCUAGUAGAAGAGAGAGGGACAAAUAAAGAGAGAGUUUGUAAUCAGAGAUAGGAGGUAGCCAGUUGCUGUUGGAGCAGAGGAAGGUAAUGACCAGCCCUUCUAGGGCGAUGGGGAGAGUUUUUUUAUCAGAGGAGUUGUUAGAAAAUGGCAUGUGGGGAAGGUUGCCAAGAGGGGAAAGGGGUUGCCCCAACAAAGUGUGCGCAGCUGCAAAAGGGCAUCACUUGGACACAGGCGACACGCUCCCUGUGGCUGCAGCAAGGGGCGUGAGGGGUGCAGGGCAGGAGAUGAGGCAGGCAGGAUUUUGGCAGGACCGCUUCCCCACAGUGAGCUGCCACCUGAGAGGUGACAAGGGGAAGGGAAAGGGGAUUACGAGAUGGCACCUGUCAGCAUCGUGCUGGGCAUUCCGCACGCUUCAUCUCAUCUGACCUGCUGCUGUGGUGACCUGCACCCCAGGACAAGUUGCUGAGCCAGACCAAGCUUUUAGAAAUCACAGUAAAAAGAUAAAAAUAAAAUAAAAAUUCUACCAAGAGAGGCAUGAUAGCAUCUUCCUCACAGGGCUGUUGAAAAAGUUAAACACGGGGACAGGAGAGACUUCUGUAUCUUUUAGUGUGGGAAUCGCUCAGGCUGGAAAAAUAGGGCCUGGGGGAUUCUGUGUGGUCCUGACCGAUCGUCUCCUGUCCUUGGAGGUCUGUUUGGUGAGAGGCGGACAGAGACAGAAGCCGAGGAGAGAAAUUAAAAUAAUGCCCCUGGUAGUACAUUCUAAGAGAUGCCAAAGGAGUCUGAGUGGGGGUGGUGGGUGAGGCUCUGAGAUUCAGGUGCUCGCUCCCCAGGUGAGGGUGCGCUGCUGGGGGCAAGACUGGCCCCCUUGAGGGAGCCAGGAGGGCAGCCAACCUGAGAAGAGCAGCUGACGGAUUUGUUGAAUAUUGCUUCAGAUGUAAUAAAACCGGUGACUUUCAAGUGUCAUAACAAAACCACAAUAGAAAGUAAUAAUAAUAAUAAUAAAGCAACUUCUGCCAUUUUCUGAGCUACAACAAGACUUGAGAUGCUAUACUAAAUCAAAUUUUGGUAGGAUGCCUGGGUGGCUCAGUGGUUAAGCAUCUGCCUUUGGCUCAGGGCACGAUCUCGGGGUCCGGGGAUCGAGUCCCGCAUCGGGCUCCCUGCAGGGAGCCUGCUUCUCCCC